rnacentral:rRNA from 1 species
UACGUAGGAGGCAAGCGUUGUCCGGAAUUACUGGGCGUAAAGCGCGUGUAGGUGGUGGGACAAGUCUGCUGUGAAAGCGCCUGGCUUAACCGGGCGAGGUCGGCGGAAACUGUUCGACUCGAGGACGGUAGAGGGGGGUGGAAUUCCCGGUGUAGUGGUGAAAUGCGUAGAGAUCGGGAGGAACACCUGUGGCGAAGGCGGCCCCCUGGGCCGGCCCUGACACUGAGGCACGAAAGCUAGGGGAGCAAACAGG